AUGAGGACUUGGACCAGCUUUGCUGCUCGGCCCUUUCCAGGCCCUCGGGCAACGGGGUUUGCAGGGGCUUUGGGUGCGAGGGUGCAAACCGGGGGGCAUCACUGCUGCCCCGCGUUGCUUCCACCCAAAAUAYUCCCCUUUCUCCAUGGGCAGCGGAGGACGUGUCGAGCCGGGAAGGUCUCGCUGCAGGCAGCAGAGGACCCGUCUGUCCAUGCUGUCUCCCGCCUCGAGCAAUUCGACCAAGCAGCCGGCCCCCCGCAAAGCCCUCGGCUCAUCCCUAUCCCAGCAAGACGAGGAUCCCAGCUGGCUCCGACCCUGGUGGUGCAUUUAUCACCUCCACCCCCUUCCCUUCCCUCCCGCCUGGCGUCGGGGCCGGUCCCACCUGCGGCAGCACCCAGCCRGGGCUCUCCUGCCAGCAUCGCCCCCCUCCGAUGGCCUUCCCGCAGAGCCGGGGUCGAAGCGCCCCGUUUUUGCAGUCAGAACUUUGUCCCUCUUUUGCGUCAGUGGGAAAUUGGAGGCCGUGACACCCCCCCCCCCCAGCUGCGUGCGCAACCCCAGCGCCGCCCUCGUGCAGCGCCUAGCGCUGCUGCUUCUCCCGACGGGCAGGUGCUGAUCCCAGGCGGGCACGGGGCACGCUGGGGCCCACGGGAGUUGCCUCGGGACCGCUCGGUCCUCCGUGUAUCCUCGCGCCUUGCUUUUCGGGGGCCUGACAUCCAGCUGCGACCCGCACUGCAGGGCAAUGGGGUCCAGCCGGGGUCCUGGCUGCCCCGGGCUGCAGCUCGGCCCCUCGAUCCCGCAGGGAUGCUCCAAGAUGGAGCUGGGGUCCCGGGCACCCUGGGCUGCGGCUCGGCCCCUCGAUCCCGCAGGGAUGCUCCGAGAUGGAGCCAGGGUCCCGGCCACCCUGGGCUGCUGCUCAGUCCCUCGAUCCCACAGGGAUGCUCUGAGCUGGAGCCAGGGGCAUCUCACCCCCGUGAGCCCCCUCGGUGCCGGCGGUGGCCUCGUGGGCACCGGCGCGACCCAUCCUGCCGCCCCCACGCUGCGGGAGGGAGGGAGGGAGGGAGGUGA
rnacentral:lncRNA from 1 species